UACGUAGGUGGCAAGCGUUGUCCGGAAUUAUUGGGCGUAAAGGGCGCGUAGGCGGUUAUUUAAGUCAGUUGUGAAAACUCUGGGCUUAACCGAGAGAUUGCAGUUGAAACUGGGUAACUUGAGUGCAGGAGAGGACAGUGGAAUUCCUAGUGUAGCGGUGAAAUGCGUAGAUAUUGGUAGGAACACCCAUUGCGAAGGCAGCUCGCUGGACAACACGUGACACUGAGGCGCGAAAGUGUGGGGAGCAAACCGGAUUAGAUACCCCUGUAGUCCCU
rnacentral:rRNA from 1 species